ACUCAUCUUUAUCUGGCUGCUGGCCUUUUGUCAGCUUUUCAGCACCGGUAUUUCGCUCCCUUUUCUUCAUUACAUUUCAACCCUCUUGGCUGCUGUCACUGCCAUUGAACCGCAUUUGUUUAAAAGAUUGAUGACCAACAAUUGACUGCAGGCCCGCAUCCUUCCGCCCCCCGGUUGCUUUUCUCUUUGUUUUUUUUUUUUGUCUGCUCCUGACAUAAUGUGCUCAAUAUUUAUGAGCCGCAGAUCCGGACAGACACUUCAAGUUUCCCGUAAUCGAAGAUGAAGAGCAAUGAGCACGGCCAUGACCUGUAAAACUUGCGGAAUGAUUUCAUUAAUUUAAUGUACAACAAUGUGACUUGUCACUUGUCAACUUUUUGGUCGAAACUUGGCCGGGGAUGGUAAAUCAGUUCAUAUUAGUCUAAUGCCCCGAGGGGGGGAUAAAACUCACUUAGUGCCGAGAAAAGUUUGCCGACAACAUGUCAUUGAUUUCAUACACGCUGCAUGCCCAGGACGCAGGACUCAGGACUCAGGACACAGGACACAAAAAGGACAGGACAAGGAUCUUAAAAAGUGCCGCAUGCAGGCUACGAUGCAUCAUCAUGGUUGUCAGCCACAUUUACUCGACAUUUAACUUAUGCCAAGUGCAGAUGCGAUGGAGACGACGGCUACGAACAGGAAAACGGAAAGGAAGGAUGUGAAGUUCCGGGCGGGCGGUUCUAAUUGUAUAAAAGAAAGGCUGAGCUUCUCGGAAUAAUAAUUUACGACAAACUAGUUAUUCUUCUACUUUCAAGAAGGUAGAGCUUACUUUUCUAUUUACUAUAUUUAUUAAAUCAGCAACCAUUUUCCAAAUGAAUCAUCUGCGGAUUUAAGAUGCUUACUUCAACAAACGCAUUUUCCGAGCAAAUAAGCCAUUCCGGAAAAACAAAUUAAGGAUGCGCAAUCGACACGAAAUAAAGACCCUAAAGAACUCAGUCAGCUACUUUAUUACCCGGAGAGAUAUUGCCAUCCCAUCCCGGGAAAAUUGGAAAGACCCCAGCUAACCUAAUGACAGACCACCCGAACACCCUUACAAACGAUAUUACUACAGACUUUUACGACACU
ensembl:ncRNA lncRNA:CR45651 long non-coding RNA:CR45651